GUCCCUCCUGAUGGCCUGAGGCUGUUGUCUGCCUUUGAGUCACACAGAACCACUUGCAGGAAGAACUCUAGAGAAUUUGGGAAGAAAGGGGGAGAGGACAGACAAAAGAUGCAUUUUUCUUUCAAGAAGCAGGAAAAUGUAAGGAAAAUUGAAGGUGUUCUCAAGUGUGUCUGCUGCUGCCUGACACAGGUUAACCCCGUCGCAGGUCACUCCGCUCUGUUAAUUGCAUCCUAACCUUCCUCGGCUCUUCGGCAGCGAAAUCGCAGCAGAGGAGAUGGAGCAGCUUCGUGCGCAUUGCUCAUUUGCGCCAACGUGAAAAGAACUGCCAGGAUGCCCAGGACACCAGCUCCCUGGCUUCUGCGGUGCUUGCACAGUCCUGAAUCAGCCCGAGAGCUGUGGAUCUGCGUCCCCUGGCUGCAUAGCCGACUGCCGGCUCCAUGGAGGGGCCUGUGCCGGAGAACGCACAUGUUGACUUAUUUCUUCAGUCUAGGCCUUUCUUGGCCCCCUUGGUUAUUCAUUCUAGAUGAUACAACUCUUAUUUCAGUUCAAAUGUCUCACGGAAGAGGCAUUGAAGACAGAGUGGAUGCCCGUGUUUGUUGGCAGUAGGUAGUAUUUACCACUCCGGUUGUAGUAAAAGAACAAAAGGAGAAAUUACACCUAUUUCUCAUAUUUAAGGGAAAAGCAAUUAAAUCACCAAAGUCAGAUUCUCGAGUAAUUGCUGGGCCCUUGGAGGGGCGGGCAAGGUGAGGUGUGAGGCCCCAGAUCUCUGUCUUGUGUGGGGCUGACACUGCCUGCUGGGGACUCCAAGCAGAGGCGGGGCCAGGGAAGGCAGCAUGCAGGGGGAAACCGAGAGCCUCUUGCCAGCCUCCCCUCCCAGCUGCUAUCCAUGCACUUGUCGUAGCUUCGCCGCUGUCCUCAGGCCAGGCAAGAGGUAGCAGGGCUCCACCUACAGAAGUUAUAGGAGGCGACUCUCAGAGCCUUGAUUUCCUCCAUUUGAAAUACUGAGAACAGUAUCUUCCAUACCUAGUUUCUAAAAGUUGUUAUGAAGAUUACGUAGAUUCAUACCUGUGAAGGCUGGUGAAAGAAUAAAACAGCCUAAACACACAAGGUGUUAAAAACAUCCCUUCCAACUAAAUAAUAGAUGAGUUGGAAUCCCAAGCAUGCUGGACAGCAGCAGUCACAGCCGAGGGGUGGGGGCCCCGUCCCUUACCAGGUGACCUCCCAUCGGUCAGGAGGACGAUGGCAUGUGGCAGUGCCGAGCACCACCUGGCUGGGAUCACUUCUCCCGCCUUCCUUUCUCCUUCUCCGGCCUGGGUCGGUAGCAUGGUCCGGAGAGCCAGCAGGCAGUCUCUCCCAGUCCGCAGAGGCAGAGGAGCGGUCUGAACGUGCAGGGCGGCCACUGCCAAGGCAGCCUGGGAUCAGGAGCUGCCCUGCACCUGGUGAUCUCUGCAAAUCAAUGCUUACCCAGAAGGAAAACCAAUUUACAUUGGGUGAGUAACAGAGAAUGCCAAGUUCGUGUUAGGAGAUGAAGUUCUUUUGGAUGAAGGGAGGCCAGAGCCCUUUAAAAAUAGUAUUUUAUUUGUAUGUGUUCCCACUGCUGAAUAAGGUGUUCCUUAGGCCAGCUCUGGGCAAAAUUGGGAAGCUCCGUUUCAGCUCCCCCAAGCCCCACUUGUUUUAAAAUAGGUAUGUGAAAACUGUUACAAUAUCCAGGCAAGAUGGACAAUAGUAGAACUGACAUUCAAUCUUCAUUUUGAAGAGCAGUUAAAUGGGAGUGAGAUUA
rnacentral:lncRNA from 10 species